ACACUCCUGCGGGAGGCAGCAGUGGGGAAUAUUGCACAAUGGGCGCAAGCCUGAUGCAGCCAUGCCGCGUGUAUGAAGAGGGCCUUCGGGUUGUAAAGUACUUUCAGCGGGGAGGAAGGCGAUAAGGUUAAUAACCUUGUUGAUUGACGUUACCCGCAGAAGAAGCACCGGCUAACUCCGUGCCAGCAGCCGCGGUAAUACGGAGGGUGCAAGCGUUAAUCGGAAUUACUGGGCGUAAAGCGCACGCAGGCGGUCUGUCAAGUCGGAUGUGAAAUCCCCGGGCUCAACCUGGGAACUGCAUUCGAAACUGGCAGGCUAGAGUCUUGUAGAGGGGGGUAGAAUUCCAGGUGUAGCGGUGAAAUGCGUAGAGAUCUGGAGGAAUACCGGUGGCGAAGGCGGCCCCCUGGACAAAGACUGACGCUCAGGUGCGAAAGCGUGGGGAGCAAACAGGAUUAGAAACCCUGGUAGUCCC
rnacentral:rRNA from 1 species